CGCCGGCCGGAGCGCAGGGCAGCGGGUGCGCUCGCAGCAGGCCGGGGCAAAUAAACUUUCCCUCAGAGGCGUGGUUUCUUGAAAUGAGGGGGUGGUCUCGGAAGGAAAGUCUGGGAACAGGGCUUUACCAGAAAAAGAACGUGAGGCGAGAGGCAAUACGGCCAGUGCCACAAACUCAUACUGGGAUCUGAGAGAGCCAAGCUGAUCCUCCGCCACGCCCACCUUCUUCUGAAUGAUAAUUUAG